rnacentral:rRNA from 1 species
AGUUUGAUCCUGGCUCAGAACGAACGCUGGCGGCAUGCCUAACACAUGCAAGUCGAACGAUUGCCUUCGGGUGAUAGUGGCGCACGGGUGCGUAACGCGUGGGAAUCUGCCCUUAGGUUCGGAAUAACAGUUAGAAAUGACUGCUAAUACCGGAUGAUGACGUUAAGUCCAAAGAUUUAUCGCCUAGGGAUGAGCCCGCGUAGGAUUAGCUAGUUGGUGUGGUAAAGGCGCACCAAGGCGACGAUCCUUAGCUGGUCUGAGAGGAUGAUCAGCCACACUGGGACUGAGACACGGCCCAGACUCCUACGGGAGGCAGCAGUAGGGAAUAUUGGACAAUGGGGGCAACCCUGAUCCAGCAAUGCCGCGUGAGUGAUGAAGGCCUUAGGGUUGUAAAGCUCUUUUACCCGGGAUGAUAAUGACAGUACCGGGAGAAUAAGCCCCGGCUAACUCCGUGCCAGCAGCCGCGGUAA